rnacentral:rRNA from 1 species
AUUGAACGCUGGCGGCAGACCUAACACAUGCAAGUCGAACGGUAACAGGAAGAUGCUUGCUUCUUUGCUGACGAGUGGCGGACGGGUGAGUAAUGUCUGGGAAACUGCCUGAUGGAGGGGGAUAACUACUGGAAACGGUAGCUAAUACCGCAUAACGUCGCAAGACCAAAGAGGGGGACCUUCGGGCCUCUUGCCAUCGGGUGUGCCCAGAUGGGAUUAGCUUGUAGGUGGGGUAACGGCUCACCUAGGCGACGAUCCCUAGCUGGUGUGAGAGGAUGACAGGCCACACGGGAACUGAGACACGGUCCAGGCGCCUACGGGAGGCAGCAGUGGGGAAUAUUGCACAAUGGGGGCAAGCCUGAUGCAGCCAUGCCGCGUGUAUGAAGAAGGCCUUCGGGUUGUAAAGUACUUUCAGCGGGGAGGAAGGGAGUAAAGUUAAUACCUUGGCUCAUUGACGUUACCCGCAGAAGAAGCACCGGCUAACUCCGUG